AUUGAACGCUGGCGGCAGGCCUAACACAUGCAAGUCGAGCGGUAGAGAGGUGCUUGCAUCUCUUGAGAGCGGCGGACGGGUGAGUAAUGCCUAGGAAUCUGCCUAGUGGUGGGGGAUAACGUUCGGAAACGGACGCUAAUACCGCAUACGUCCUACGGGAGAAAGCGGGGGGAUCUUCGGACCUCGCGCCAUUAGAUGAGCCUAGGUCGGAUUAGCUAGUUGGUGAGGUAAUGGCUCACCAAGGCGACGAUCCGUAACUGGUCUGAGAGGAUGAUCAGUCACACUGGAACUGAGACACGGUCCAGACUCCUACGGGAGGCAGCAGUGGGAAUAUGGACAAUGGGCGAAAG
rnacentral:rRNA from 1 species